AGAGUUUGAUCCUGGCUCAGAACGUACGCUGGCGGCGUGCUUAACACAUGCAAGUCGAACGCGAAAGUUUCUCUUCGGAGAGGCGAGUAGAGUGGCAGACGGGGGAGUAACACGUGGGUAACCUACCCCGAGGCGGGGGGUAACAACUGGAAACAGGUGGUUGUACCGACCGCAUAAGACUACGAAUCUUCGGGUCAGUGGUUAAAGUCUUCGGACACCUUGGGAGGGGCCCGCGGUUGAUUAGCUUGUUGGUGGGGUAAUGGCCUACCAAGGCAACGAUCAAUAGCUGGUCUGAGAGGAUGAUCAGCCACACUGGUACUUAGACACGGACCAGACUCCUACGGGAGGCAGCAGUGGGGAAUAUUGCGCAAUGGGGGCAACCCUGACGCAGCAACGCCGCGUGUGUGAAGAAGGCUUUCGGGUCGUAAAACACUGUCAGAUGGGAAGAGAACGGUCCCGAUGGAGAACUGAACGGUACCAUCAAAGGAAGCACCGGCUAACUCCGUGCCAGCAGCCGCGGUAAUACGGAGGGUGCAAGCGUAGUUCGGAAUCACUGGGCGUAAAGGGCGCGUAGGCGGCCAUGUGGGUCUGAUGUGAAAGCCCGGGGCUCAACCCCGGAAGUGCAUUGGAAACUACAUGGCUUGAGUUUGGGAGAGGAGAGCAGAAUUCCCGGUGUAGGGGUGGAAUCCGUAGAUAUCGGGAGGAAAACCAGUGGCGAAGGCGGCUCUCUGGAACAUAACUGACGCUGAGGCGCGAAAGCGUGGGGAGCAAACAGGAUUAGAGACCCUGGUAGUCCACGCCGUAAACGAUGGAUACUAGGUGUGGGGGUCAUUAAGGGCCCCUGUGCCGUAGCUAACGCAUUAAGUAUCCCGCCUGGGGAGUACGGUCGCAAGACUAAAACUCAAAGGAAUUGACGGGGGCCUGCACAAGCGGUGGAGUAUGUGGUUUAAUUCGACUCAACGCGCAGAACCUUACCUGGGUUUGACAUCCCGUGAUCGCCAUAGAGAUAUGGUUUCCUCUUCGGAGGCACGGUGACAGGUGCUGCAUGGCUGUCGUCAGCUCGUGUCGUGAGAUGUUGGGUUAAGUCCCGCAACGAGCGCAACCCCUGUCCCAUGUUGCCAUCACGUAAAGGUGGGCACUCUUGGGAGACUGCCGGUGUUAAACCGGAGGAGGGUGGGGAUGACGUCAAGUCCUCAUGGCCCUUAUGCCCAGGGCUACACACGUACUACAAUGGCCGGUACAAAGAGGAGCAACCUCGUGAGAGCAAGCAAAUCUCAAAAAGCCGGUCUCAGUUCGGAUUGGAGUCUGCAACUCGACUCCAUGAAGGCGGAAUCGCUAGUAAUCGCGGAUCAGCAUGCCGCGGUGAAUCCGUUCCCGGGCCUUGUACACACCGCCCGUCACACCAUGAGAGUCGCUUGUACCAGAAGUGCGUAGGCCAACCCUUUGGGGAGGCAGCGUACCAAGGUAUGAGUGGUGAUUGGGGUGAAGUCGUACAGGUUAACC
rnacentral:rRNA from 1 species